GUGGGCGUAGCUCAGCUGGAAGAGCACAAGAUUGUGGAUCUUGGGGUCGCGGGAUCAAAACCCGUCGCCCACCCCA
rnacentral:tRNA from 1 species